GGAGGGUGCAAGCGUUAUCCGGAUUCACUGGGUUUAAAGGGUGCGUAGGUGGGUAUGUAAGUCAGAGGUGAAAUCCCCGAGCUUAACUUGGGAACUGCCUUUGAUACUAUAUAUCUUGAAUGUCGUAGAGGUAAGCGGAAUAUGUCAUGUAGCGGUGAAAUGCUUAGAUAUGACAUAGAACACCAAUUGCGAAGGCAGCUUACUAUGCGAUUAUUGACACUGAGGCACGAAAGCGUGGGUAGCAAACAGGAUUAGAUACCCUGGUAGUCCACGCCCUAAACUAUGGAUACUCGACAUACGCGAUACACAGUGUGUGUCUGAGCGAAAGCAUUAAGUAUCCCACCUGGGAAGUACGACCGCAAGGUUGAA
rnacentral:rRNA from 1 species